AACGGUAGGGAGGCACAGAGAGACAGGGAAGAGUUAGGGCAUGGGAAUUGCACAGGCAGAAACGUCUGCUUCUGCCAUUCUCAUGCACUGCCUCUUCCCUGGCUCACUUCUUCUCCUGUU
rnacentral:pre_miRNA from 1 species